GAGCCCCUGGUUAUAUGAUUAGAAGAAGAGAGGAAGAUGCCUGGCAAGGUCAGUUAGAGAUCUUAGAUAAUCACUAUUUGUCAACAUUUAUAUGCAAUAUUUAAGUGAGUUUAUUUCCAUUAAACUUUAGAAUCUUUUACAUCACCUAUAGACCCUGCUUUGAUGCUAGCCCUGAAAAACUUGAUAUAACACUGCUGUGGCCUUGAACCAUUUCUUCCCUUCUGAGUUUGUCUGCCAGCAUAGCUUAAAGAUCCUAGUUACACCAUUACUCACUUGUAUCAUAACCAGUAUUGUUUGAUCAGAUUGUCAGAUAGAUACAGUGACACUGAGGCAAAAUCCUGUCAUUAUGAUGUAAGAUAAAAAGUACAUCUGUCUUUAACAAAACGUAUAAAGGAGGCACCCACUGGAUCAGCUCAAGUUAGAAAAUAGGAAAUCUUUCUUCUUAUUUUGCAAGUUAUAAACUGCAGUUAGGAAACUCCAAAGGACUCUAACCACAACAGUUCAAUGAAGUACAUGAGAUGCUGAGAAAUGAAUGUAUUAAAUGAGGUAAUUAGGACAUUAAGAAAAUAUUCUUAAUUAUUGGAAAAGUUCUUUCCAAUAAGCUGAAUGUGCUACUUUCAUUUUAGAUGCUGCUUAUUAGAAAAGGAUUAGUAAAUGAGAGUGAUGAGGUUCAGAGCUAGAGAGUGAAUUUUAAAGAAAAGCUGUAGUUGUGACUCAUUCACUUUCUAAACUUUUACACACAGUCAUUUACGAUAAUUGUUUUCUUUGCAAUGUAUCUUCUUCAGUAACCACUCUGUAGUGUCCUAAUUACUGGUAGUACUUUUAUAGUUAUUCUAAUUUAUGCAGUUAAAGGUCUGUGGCAAUGAAAACAUUUCCCCAAUUGUGCUUAUAUCCUCUGGGUACCCAACCUGUAGACUAUAGUGAAAUUAUCAAGGAAAAGAUCAGCACCCAGAACUCUUGAACUAUAUACUAGGCCUCUUCUUCCUGGGACCUAAUGUAUUUAAACGGCUUGAGAGAAUGGAAUAAGUUGUUGAAAAUGGUCCUUUCAAAAGACUUCACUGAAGGCCAAAGACGAGACUCACUGAAGCCAAGCUGAUCAACAAUAUCUAUAAGUUGACGCAAUCUAAUCAAGAGGCGAUCUUGCCCUUGGAAGGUAGAUUUAUGGGCCACUGUCCCCAAGAAGAUGAACAUCAGGCAGAUGACUAUCUUCUCCAUGUUGCCAGGACUGGAUCUCAUAAGUGCCAGUAGAGCAAGACCUUGGUCUCAGUUUUCACUUCAGUUUGACUGUGAACAGCCUGUCAGCAAAGCUACCUAUUUAUUCAUCCUUCAGGGAGAGGUAAAGCCCUCCCAUUGCAGCCUGGAAAUCUUUGUAAAAUGGAUGAAUGUGAGUAACUCUUUUUUCUUUUCCACUGGCUAGGUAUACGUGUGUAUGUGCUAAUGCGUGGGGGCAGGGAUGGAUGGAGUCAAUGAAAUGUGCCCCAUCUGCAUCUUUGACAGGAAAAAGAGAGAAAUGGGUGAAUUCCAAUUUUCAGCAUGAAUCAAGAAGUAUGCAUGGUAAACAGCUUAAGAGACUUCUGUGAAGGGCAGUAUGGGAUAUACUUCAGUAUAUACCACUGUGCAUAAGUGCAGGAGCUCCAGACUUCCUAUACAGGAGACACAGGGACGGCAGUCCGGCUGGAAGCAAGUGCACUGCUUUUACUUGACAUCUGUGUUUCUUUGAUGCCUUGGAAUGAGGUGGUGUUUGCCAAGUCCUUGUGCACAGCUGAAUAGGAAGCCCCUCCCCCCAUUCUCCCAAGGGGCAGCAGCGGGAUCUGCCCAGAGUUUGCAGGCUGAAUGUGGUCCUCAUUCUGGACAGUUGUUUCUGCUUCUAAGAAUCAGGAUCAUUUUUGGAAGAUUACCACUUUUCAUCUUUGUAUAUACUGAAGUAAUGCCUGUGUGUCAUGAAAUGAAGAAUUCAAAGAACAUGUCAGUGUAAAGAAAGAGCAAAAUAUAAAAUUACUCCCUUUCUUCCCUAAUUUUCACUCUUGGGACACUCUUGAGAGUUUGCUGUGUAUCAUUCUAGACUCUUCCUAUGUACACAGAACAGUAUAGAGGACUAUAUAUAGGUAGAGAGAGAGAGAGAGAGAGAUUGAAGGAAAUAGAAUUAUAUAUGGAGAAAGAGAUAUAUAGAAAUAGAUACAGAAAUAGAAAAAUGUGGGUUUUUCCAGUAAAAAUUUAAUUUUACCAUACAUAUUCUACAACUUUCCUUUUUCAUUCAACAAUAUAUGUCAGCGCAGCAACCCAUACAGAAUUUACGCACAGGGCGAUUUCAUUGAAAUAGCUGGAUUACUAUUCCAUUAUAUGGCUGUAAUAACUUAACCCAUUCACAGCCCUAUUGACAGAUUUAUUUCUAAUUAUUAUAUUCUACAAAAUAUGCUAACAUUCCUAAACAUCUGUAUCUUUUAGCAUAUGUGAAAUAUAUUCCUUUAGGAUACAUAUCCUGUAUUUCACUUCCUGUGUGGAAAGAUAACAUCCUUUAAAAAAUUUGAAACUGCCAAAUUGCCCUCCACCAUGCCACAUCAGUUUAUAUACCCACUCAUAAUGCCGUUUCCUUUCCUCUUCCAGCCUCAUAAACACUUUAUGUUGUAUUUUAAAGAUUUGCCAAUAUGCAAAGGCAAAAUAUAGUAUCCACUUAUGGGUUUGUCUUUCUUGAUCAAUAGUUAAGUUUGGCCUAUUUUCAUAUCUUCAUUAUCAGUGUAUUGUGUG